ACGUAGGUGACAAGCGUUAUCCGGAAUUACUGGGCGUAAAGCGCACGCAGGCGGCGCAUUAAGUCUGACGUGAAAUCUCCUGGCUUAACUGGGAGGGGUCGUUGGAAACUGAUGUGCUUGAGGCGGUGAGAGGGGUGUAGAAUUCCCGGUGUAGUGGUGGAAUGCGUAGAUAUCGGGAGGAAUACCAGUGGCGAAAGCGACACCCUGGCACUGUGCCUGACGCUCAUGUGCGAAGGCGUGGGGAGCGAACGG
rnacentral:rRNA from 1 species